GAGUAAGAUCCCUCAGAGACGAUGAGGUUGAUAGGUUCGAGGUGGAAGCGUGGUGACACGUGGAGCUGACGAAUACUAAUCGAUCGAGGACUUAACUAACUU
rnacentral:rRNA from 1 species